rnacentral:rRNA from 1 species
CAGUAGCCGCGGGAAUACGUAGGUGGCAAGCGUUGUCCGGAAUUAUUGGGCGUAAAGCGCGCGCAGGCGGAUAGGUCAGUCUGUCUUAAAAGUUCGGGGCUUAACCCCGUGAUGGGAUGGAAACUGCCAAUCUAGAGUAUCGGAGAGGAAAGUGGAAUUCCUAGUGUAGCGGUGAAAUGCGUAGAUAUUAGGAAGAACACCAGCGGCGAAGGCGACUUUCUGGACGAAAACUGACGCUGAGGCGCGAAAGCCAGGGGAGCGAACGGGAUUAGAUACCCCUGUAGUCCCUGUCUCUUAUACA